rnacentral:rRNA from 1 species
AACCUGCCCUUCAGAGGGGGACAACAGUUGGAAACGACUGCUAAUACCGCAUACGAUCAACCUCGGCAUCGAGGAUGGAUGAAAGGUGGCCUCUAUUUAUAAGCUAUCACUGAAGGAGGGGAUUGCGUCUGAUUAGCUAGUUGGAGGGGUAACGGCCCACCAAGGCAAUGAUCAGUAGCCGGUCUGAGAGGAUGAACGGCCACAUUGGGACUGAGACACGGCCCAGACUCCUACGGGAGGCAGCAUG